rnacentral:rRNA from 1 species
UACGGGGGGGGGUAAGCGUUGUUCGGAAUUACUGGGCGUAAAGGGCUCGUAGGCGGCCAACUAAGUCAGACGUGAAAUCCCUCAGCUUAACUGGGGAACUGCGUCUGAUACUGGAUGGCUUGGAUUCGGGAGAGGAAUGCGGAAUUCCAGGUGUAGCGGUGAAAUGCGUAGAUAUUGGGAGGAACACCAGUGGCGAAGGCGGCUCUCUGGGACGGUACUGACGCUGAGACGCGAAAGCGUGGGGAGCGAACAGG